rnacentral:lncRNA from 1 species
ACACUCUGUCCCUCUCGUUGGCCUACAGACGCUCCAGGAUCGCAGAGAGCCUCCCACCCCAGAGAGCAGAGUCUUCACCCCUGCGGCAUCCGGCAUGGGGGAACCGGUGUGGCUCAGCGGCUGGGGGCCAGCCCGAGGGUGGAGAACAACCCCCACCCCCCCUAGAGCCCAGACCCAGCUCCUCCAGCUAUAGAAGGCCACAGAGGCUGGGACAAAACCCUUCAGCUAAGCGGCCCAGCGAUCAGGCCAGAAGUGAAGGCCAAGGCUCAAGGACCCUGGCACUGCAGGCAACCCCAUCCCCGCAAGGCACACCAGAUGGGACCCACAGAGCCCAGCGGCCCUUGCCCCACCGCAGCAGGCGCCAGGGAGACGCAUCCACAGCAGGGAACGGUGGAGCCACUGCGUCGCAGGGCCAGCUCAGGUCACUCAGCGGGAGGAACCGGCCGUGCCUCCCCCAGCCCCGCUGACACCGGAGGCCUCGGUCACCCAGAAGGCUCAGGUCACAGGGGCCCCGGCUCAGGCCCACCCACGCCGGCCCUCGCCCAGGCCUGCCCUGAGGUCGCUGGAGUGCGUGCCCCCGAGGGCUGUCUGGGGCGGAGGUCGGGGAGCGGCGGGAGCGGGACUCACCGGGCGGCUUCAUGUAGUACUGCUCGAUGUCCGCCAUGUCCGUGUGCAGCGCGCACUCCAGGUAGGCGCGGAUCACCUUGCGGCUGUAGUAGUAGCGCAGGCCCAGCAGCGCGGCCGGCACCAGGCACGUCAGCAGCAGCGAGCGGCUCACGGCGAAGCACAGCG